rnacentral:tRNA from 1 species
GGCUGUGUACGUCAGUGGUAGACGACUGCCCUCCUAAGGCAGGAGUCCAGGGUUCGAUCCCCUGCAUGGUCG